CAUCCGGGAUAGUCCUGGAAAUGAUCUUGAUGCUAUCUGUUCCUCAUUACAACAGACCUGCUCAACUUCAGCAGCUAGAAGGAGGAUUGUCUUUCACCAGCUGCAGGAGCCUGUUCCCACUACAGGCCUGGUGGAGUCUUCAGAGCAGAUCUGAUUGUCCUACUUGUGUAGAGAAGAGAAAAUGAGGCUCAGAAGAGACGCCUGGCUGAGUUUAACAGGACUGCAACAAGAAUUUUGCCUUUCUACUUUCUGGUAGCAUCAAGGUGGCCACCAUUAAGUUUGGAAGAAGAAUAGGAAGAGGUCGAAAAGCAAAGAAAUGAGAAUUAUGUCUAAGAAAGGACAUUGUGUUUAUAAGGACAUAGAAUUGCCUUGAAGAAAAUCUGGAACAGAGGUUGAUAUAGUUUGAAUAUUUGUCCCCACCCAAAUCUUAAGUUGAAUUAUAAUCCCCAGUGCUGGAGGUGGGGCCUG